CAGUCGCCACGGGAAUACAGAGGAUGCAAGCGUUAUCCGGAAUGAUUGGGCGUAAAGGGCUCGCAGGCGGUUUCUUAAGUCUGAUGUGAAAGCCCCCGGCUCAACCGGGGAGGGUCAUUGGAAACUGGGAAACUUGAGUGCAGAAGAGGAGAGUGGAAUUCCACGUGUAGCGGCGAAAUGCGUAGAGAUGUGGAGGAACACCUGUGGCGAAGGCGACUCUCUGGUCUGUAACUGACGCUGAGGAGCGAAAGCGUGGAGAGCGAACAGGAUUAGAUACCCCAGUAGUCCCUGUCUCUUAUAA
rnacentral:rRNA from 1 species